UACGUAGGGGGCAAGCGUUGUCCGGAAUCAUUGGGCGUAAAGCGCGUGUAGGCGGUUCGGUAAGUCUGCUGUGAAAGUCCAGGGCUCAACCCUGGGAUGCCGGUGGAUACUGUCGGACUAGAGUACGGAAGAGGCGAGUGGAAUUCCCGGUGUAGCGGUGAAAUGCGCAGAUAUCAGGAGGAACACCUAUUGCGAAGGCAGCUCGCUGGGACGUAACUGACGCUGAGACGCGAAAGCGUGGGGAGCAAACAGG
rnacentral:rRNA from 1 species